rnacentral:lncRNA from 10 species
GUUUUCCCAGCAUCUUUCACUGACCUGACCGCAAGCUCUUUAGCUGGAGCCAGGAGUUUGGUAGCGCGUGGGGACUUUGUGUGUGAUGGAUCCAGGAACCCCUCGGCCAGAGCCAGCACCCUCCUUGUCACCUUCCUCCACUAAAAAUUGAAAUGUGCCUCCCUUCCCCCAUCCAGAGGUACUUGGGAGGAGUACGCUGUGUGUGCGCAAGGAAAGAGCUGAGCGUGCUCUUUAUACCCCAGAGACAAAGGAAAGAAAGCAGGACAAAGUAAGUGCCUGAGACAAGCCGGGUUCCUACAGAAGCCUCUGCCACUUUUUGCAUUAUUUUCCAGUACUGUUUGAUAGUUUUUACAAGGAGAUGAAAAAGCCACAAGGAUAUAAAUUUUUGAAUAAAACGAAAUGAACUAAUAAAAUAAACUUUGAACCACGCCUAAUCCCUUUCCCUACCUGAAGUUGAAUGAGGUGGAACAGCGCAGGAAAUUCUGGCAAGGGCAGGGUCAUGAAGAAAGAAAUCUUCUUGAUCCUUGCGACGUCUGAAGACAGUAGGGCACCGUUUUUCCUUCUCUUGAGAGAGGAGCAGAUGGUAAAAAGCUGGAGACCCUGUAGCGUCUUGGUUUCCCCUCCCUGCCCUGC